CACGUAGGGGGCAAGCGGUUGUCCGGAUUUAUUGGGCGUAAAGAGCUCGUAGGCGGUUCGGUAAGUCGGGUGUGAAACCUCCAGGCUCAACCUCGGAGACGCCACCCGAUACUGCUGUGACUAGAGUCCGGUAGGGGAGCGUGGGAAUUCCUGGUGUAGCGGUGAAAUGCGCAGAUAUCGGGAGGAACACCAAUGGCGAAGGCAGCUCGCUGGGACGGUACUGACGCUGAGACGCGAAAGCGUGGGGAGCAAACAGGG
rnacentral:rRNA from 1 species